rnacentral:tRNA from 1 species
ACAGAAGUGGUGGAAUUGGAAUACACGCCUCCACGCAGUGAGGAGUUGAUAGGGGUAACCACUAUCAUAUUGCAGGUUCAAGCCCUGCCUUCUGUU